GGAGCUGUGACUCAGUGGUCGAGCAUCUGCUUGGGAUGCAGAAGGUCCCAGGUUCAAUCCCUGGCAUCUCCA